GAACAGGUUGAGCAAGCUCAAGGUGGUCUGCAAUCACUUUCUUUAUCUCAGAAGACUAUAAAUCAGCUCCGAGAAAACUUCCUUUCUAUUGAAAAGCUUUGUCAAGAGUGCCAAACUUUAAUCGAAAAUCAUGACCAGAUAAAAAUUCUCAGUAACACCAGGAAUAACUUGAACACUACUCUGAAGGAUGUGGAGGGGAUGAUGUCAAUUUCGGUAGAGGCGUCUGAAGCACGGGAUUCUCUUAGAGAUGAUAAGGAACUAAUUAACACCUAUGAAAGGUUAACUGCUCUUGAUGGAAAGCGAAGGUUCGCGCUAGCUGCUGCAGGGUCUCAUAAAGAAGAGGUUGGUAGACUAAGAGAAUAUUUUGAAGAUGUGG
rnacentral:misc_RNA from 1 species